rnacentral:rRNA from 1 species
AUUGAACGCUGGCGGCAGGCCUAACACAUGCAAGUCGAACGAGUGGCGGACGGGUGAGUAAUGUCUGGGAAACUGCUCGAUGGAGGGGGAUAACUACUGGAAACGGUAGCUCAUACGGCAUACCAUUGGAUGUGCCCCGAGGGGAUUAGCUAGUGGGUGGGGUAACGGCUCACCUAGGCGACGAUCACUAGCUGGUCUGAGUGGUUGACCAGCCACACUGUAACUGAGACACGGUCCAGACUCCUACGGGAGGCAGCAGUGGGGAAUAUUGCACAAUGGGCGCAAGCCUGAUGCAGCCAUGCCGCGUGUAUGAAGAAGGCCUUCGGGUUGUAAAGUACUUUCAGCGAGGAGGCGUUACUCGCAGAAGAAGCACCGGCUAACUCCGUGCCAGCAGCCGCGGUAAUAC